GGGUGAAGCCCUAAGGAAGGGAAAGUUAGCCGAUAACUAGCUUUAGGUUGGUUCGAAUCCAACUUCACUCU
rnacentral:tRNA from 1 species